UGCCAGCAGCCGCGGUAAGACGGGAGGGGGUUAGCGUUGUUCGGAAUUACUGGGCGUAAAGCGCACGUAGGCGGAUUUGAAAGUUAGAGGUGAAGUCCCCGAGCUCAACUUGGGAACUGCGUUUGAAACUGUAAGACUAGAGUGUGUCAGAGGGGGGUAGAAUUCCAAGUGUAGCAGUGAAAUGCGUAGAGAUUUGGAGGAAUACCAAUGGCGAAGGCAGCCCCCCGGGAUAACACUGACGCUCAUGCACGAAAGCGUGGGGAGCAAACAGGAUUAGAUA
rnacentral:rRNA from 1 species